rnacentral:rRNA from 1 species
GACGUAGGUGGCGAACGUUAUCCGGAAUUAUUGGGCGUAAAGGGUGCGUAGAUGGCCUGAUAAGUUAGCAGUGGGAAAUCGAGGCUCAACCUCGUGGAAGCUGGUAAUACUGUCAGGCUCGAGUGCAGGAGAGGUUAACGGAACUCCAUGUGGAGCGGUGGAAUGCGUAGAGAUCCGGAGGAAGACCGGUGGCGAAGGCGGUCUGCUGGGCAGUUUCUGACACUGAUGCGCGACAGCGUGGGGAGCAAACAGG